AAAAAAGACAAAAUGUGAUGAUACUGGAUAUAAUUUCAACAACAACAAAAAAACUCAGAUUGAAGAGGUCUUUCACCUUUUCUUUUUUUACUCCGAGGAAGAACUCGGGAUGGCUACAGUUGAUCCCACUGCCUCUGCAAUCCUGUUCUUACAAAAACAAUAUUACUAUGAGAAAUAAAAUAAGACUAUUUUCUAUUCCUUACUGGAUUUUUGGUUGUUUACAAAACACAGAUUUCUGUGGGUGCAGUUUUUUUGUGUAGGGGUGGGGUUUUGCGAGUGUGCUUCUGCAAUAUGGACGUUCAUUGGUGUACAUUGCUUUUGGCGGGAGGAGGAGUGACAUCACAAUGUGACGGACAAGAUCCUUGCCCUUUGACCCUUUAGUGGGCAUGGCUCUUUGGAAUUGACUGAUCCUCAAGGAGCGCAGGAGAAAGAAUUCAACAACAAAGUUAGUCUGUUAUUUUGGGGGAGUUCAUUAUUAGUGUGUCUUCCGGUUUCAUUUAGUUACAUUUUUGUUGUUGAACUGCCUAUCUUAACUAGACAAGUACUGAAAGAAGUAUAAAGCUUAAACAAAAAGCAGGGCACAGCAGAGGUGUUUUUGGUACUUCGACCACAAAUAAAGGAAACAACAAUAUCAUUGCUUUAAUAGGAGAGAAAAAAUGCCCUGGAGUUUUAUUUUUUAUCCACCAACGUAAAAGAGACAGAUGGACAAAUCUUUGAGGGGUGGAUGAGAAUAAAGGACAUUUGAAGAUUUUGUAAACUGUACAUACAUGAUGUUGACCUCAAAUCUACCAUUGCAUUUGAUUGGACUGUGUCAGCAGCAUAUCUUACUUUUUAUCAUCAUACUUUUUUAAGGGGGCUCAGGGUGUGCAGUGGGAGUGUAUUAACCCUGCAAUGAGGGGAAAUGAAAGGGUACCAGUACUGUUCCCUGGGGGACACCCCUCGACACUCACACCCUGCCCUGACACUCACUAUGCACUUUCUAACUGUGAGGUUCCAUUACAUUUGGGACGGGAGCACAGAAAUAUUAUAGUACAAAGGGAGGGUUGGAAAAUGUAACUUUGAGUUUUUAGUUAGUACCGUCUCACUGAAAACGAGAUUCAAACCGAAACGAAAGACUUAGGAACACACCUUCCUCCUGUACAUAACCAUAUUUUUGUAUUACCUUUUUUUAGAAAAUCACUUGGACAAAACCACAAGGCUUGAUAUAAAAACAAACAGAUGAAAGAAAUUCAAGACAGAUUGAGGAACAGAGUGAAUGUUCCUCAAGGAAACAUGUUUUUUUUUUUUUUUUAAAUACUGAGGUAAAUUAACUACCUGGAAGUUCCCUUGACUUUGCCAGUGGCCCUGUCUAUCAUCAGGAGUGGCGAAAGAAAGGACUUAACGUGGAUGGAGCUGCGGACUGUAGGGACUACCAAGACUGAUUGGUGAUCAUCGUCUGUCAUCAAAAUGGACUCCGCUGCAGAGCCCAGCCCAGGGUGUUUGAACAACAAUCGCCAACCAAUGGAGAAGGCAGGGGAGAGACAACACAAACAAUGGAUGUACGGGGAGACCUUCUGCCCAGAUGCCCCCCCGCCUUCUGCCACCUAGCCACUGCCUGGAGAUCAACUACAAGGUGACUGCAAGAAGAGAACCAUCAUAUAGGAUUCUAACUGUUCCUAGCUGCCCUCUGUUGGAAAGGAGAUGGAGCGUACUGUAUCUUCAAACCUUUCUUUUCCUCUUCUUUCUGCCCCCUGGUGGUAAAAGUGCCAAGCAGAAACCACAGCAGCAGAGGAACUUGGAACAGUGGACUACACACAAACGUAGAGCUUUACUCAUGUGUACAGUACACGCAGCUGGAUUCUGGUAAAAUAAUUGCAAGCACACAUUCUCAAAAAGACUUGCUCUUUUCUAGAACCACAUUCACACACACAACUAAUAGAGCCUGUCAUUACACCAGUGUUUCCCAAACUCGGUCCCGGAGGCCCCAAGGGGUGCACUACGCACAGCUGAUUCAAAUAAUCAACUAAUCAUCAAGCGCUGGUUAUUCGAAUCAGUUGUGUAGUGCUAGGGCAUAAACAAAAACGUGCACCCCUUGGGGUCCCCAGGACCGAGUUUGGGAAACACUGCAUGACACAUUCAUGCACACACACACACACACACACACACACACACACAAGCGGAAAGGCUCAAUACUACACACUUGAGUUAUGUAAAUAACGUGAAAGUAUUUUGUUUUCGUCUAAUUGUUUUUCUUUUCUCUCUGUUCAACAUGCCUUAACUGUACAGAUCUGCCUUGUAUGGCAAACUCUAAAUAUUCAAUAAACAGUAAGAGAACAUAAGGACAAUAGCAUUUGAAGGGGAGGUCUGUUCUACUUACUUGGACAGGACUGUCUUAUUAGCUAACAAUACUGUUGUAUGUUACGUUAUUUCUGUCCAGCAUCUAUUGCACGUUAGCAUGAAAGUAGAACUGUAGAAAACCCCUUACGACAAUGAUGAUGGUGGUUUGCCUUUUUUGAAAGCAAGAGUGUUUCUUUUCAGAUAUCCAGUUUUAAAUGCCUAUACAUGUAGUUGGUGUAGGGUGAGGAAUGAGAAGUCUGGAGUAUAGUGUGGAGCUGAGCUGACUUGGAAGGGUAUGUUAAAGGCCCAGUGCACCCCCCCAAAAAAUGACUUUAUAUAUAGUAUAUUUCCACACUGAGGUUUGAAUAAUACUGUGAAAAUGUUAAUGCUCUUUUAGUUUAAGAGCUAUUUGAAAAGACUGCCUAUUUUGGUGGGAUGGAGUUGCCGCCUGCAUGGUGACAUAGACCAAUAAGAAAAAGCGUUCCAAACCUCUCUGCCAAUAACAGCUAGUUUAGUUUCCCUCCCCACUCAGACCACUCCCAGACAGUCCUUGCUAAAUUGAUCUUUGCUAAGAAGCUGUUUUUGUUUCUUUUUGACCAUUUUAAAUCAAUGAAAGAAAUCACAGUAAGGUAAUUAAACUGUUUCCCAGAAAUGAUUUGAUAUUGAGAUGUCUGCAUUGGACUUUUUAAAUCUGUCCUCUCUCACACACACACACACACACACACACUACAUAUUACUAUUUACCCCAUCACUAGUAAUGGUUUGACGGAAAAGAUUUUGACACAAUAAUUCACAUUAUGAGACUUGAUUUGAAACAUGUUCAACUGUUUUAUCUUGGUGCUUACCACGCCUUAAAAUGGAGGAUAUAUUUAUUCUUGGCGUUCUCUGAGUAGCCUAAAUUGUCCCUAAACAUUUGACUAAUGACCAUUUGUAAUGACUUAUGUCCCUGUAUAUUAGAAGCGUCUACCGUAGCUAAUGGUAUUGAAUGGCUGUAUACGAGUCAAGGUUUACUCAACAGAUUGAGUGGCUAUGAUACUUGUUGCUAUAUGUAUUCCAUUAUACAGUUGAUAAUGGGUUUGUCUCUCUUCUACUGAAGGUGCUUGGAACAGUUCUGAAACUUGUUAGUUUGUUUUUCGUAUGGAGAAACCCAAUACUUCCCCUGUCAGUUAGGUUGAAUGGAUUCAUUCUUUUGAAAGUGUUUUCCUAUUUAGAAUCAGUUCUGGUUGGUCCGACAAACAAGUAUUAACUUUGGCUGUUCUGGGAAUGUUUAUUUUUAGGUUGCAGGGAGGUUCUUACAACGUUUUACUCUGGUUCCUUUGAAGUUCCCCUCUGAGGUUUUAUUAAACAGUGAGAACGGAAAUUCUAGGUACUUUAAGUUUAAAAAAAAAAAUUACUUCCUUGACUUUCACUGAAAGUUUCAAUAAGAAACUGAACGUUUCAAGAGCACCGCUAGCUUAUUUGGGGUUAAACUGUUUAAACUCCAAGCACAGAUCAGACACAUGGAAAUUCAUGCAAACAUUUAAAAAAUUGUGACAUCGCAUCUGUGAGAUUCGAACCUAUAAUCUUCUGGAAUUAGUCUACUGUGCCAUCAGGAUGGAGCUAGUGUGCCAUUGGUUUUUUUACACAUACAAAUCUGUUCCUUUGAGUCUAUUGAAACAGACCACAUUUUUAAAGGAAACAGCACUCAAGCUCAGGUGUGGCCACCACACCCAAACACACUUAACAAGAGUGUUUUGGUGAUGCUGAGAACAGAAUGUAUGUUUUGAAAUAACGUUCUCUGAACAUUAAAGUUUUUCUAGGACGUUUUAAACAAUGAGAACAUAACUUUAAAUAGAACCAUGAGGAAACGCUAUGCUGAAGUACUGAAAUUCCCACAGAAGAACGUUGUUUAACGUUCUCUGAACUAUGAGAACAUUCCCAAUGUCAAACCAGUUGGAGAAUGUUCUUAAAACAUUACCAAAACUGAACUUAAAUGUAACCAUGUUUGAACUUUUAGGAAACAUUCUGUUAAAAGUAAUGACAUUUGACAAAGUGCUGAGAAUGUUCCAAAGCCAAGCAACUAUCCUGCAACAUUCCCAGAAAGUUGUGAAAAGGUCACAUGCAAAAUCAACACGACCAGACUCUCACCAAACUAUUAAAACAUAUGGUUCUCAGAAAGUUACGUUUUAGCUGGGUUGGUUUUGAAUACACUCUAUUCAGUCCGUUUGGAUCAGUUUAUGUAUUGGUUAGUGCAGAUUGGGGAAUAUCUAAAAUGUCACUGAAGUACUUUGUGAAGACAGAGAGAGCAGGGUAUUGUCAUUAUUUGAAUUCCAUCGGUCAGAUAAGGAUGCCAGUGGCAUGCUGGUUUGCAGGGAGCUGUGUUUCAAAUGUAGCCACCAAUUAUUCUAGUCUGUUGUUGAAUGACUGGUGGUUAUCAUAUGUUAGUCUGUCAAGUCUCCAGCUGUUGACAUUUUUCAGAUUUUCUGUUAAUCCUUGAAGUUCAAAAGUUAUUGUUUUUGCUUUGUGAUGCCCCUGGGGGAGAUGAUUAAUUUACCAAAUUAUAUUUUCCCUUGUUUCACCCAGUCAGCUCAAUUCCAUCACUUAAACGUUUUGAAUGAGUUUAGUAACAUAAAUGCAUUCAGAAAAAGAACAUACCUAAAGAAUUGUAAAUAGUUUGUUUUUUGUUUGAAGAGAACCAAAAGUGAUUAAAUAAAAUGCAUUUGAUGGGUAUGACUAUGAA